rnacentral:rRNA from 1 species
GACGAACGCUGGCGGCGUGCUUAACACAUGCAAGUCGAACGCAGUGGGGACGGGUGAGUAACACGUGGGUAACCUCCCAUCAGAGGGGAUAACACUUGGAAACAGGUGCUAAACCGAUACUGAUGGAUGGAACCGCGGGGCAUUAGCUAGUUGGUGAGGUAACGGCUCACCAAGGACACGAUGCAUAGCGCACCCGAUAUGGGGAUCGGCCACACUGGAACUGAGACACGGCCCAGACUCCUACGGGAGGCAGCAGGAGGGAAUCUGCGGCAAUGUACGAAAGUCUGAUCGAGCAACGCCGCGUGAGUUAAGAAGGUUUUCGGAUCGUAAAACUCUGUUGUUAUAGAAGCGGUAUCUAACCAGAAAGCCACGGCUAACUACGUGCCAGCCGCCGCGGUAAUAC